UGGCUCUCAGCCACAGUGCUGUGUCUGAUCAGUCUGAGGAUGGUCUCUGAUUCCUGCAGGGCCUGGAAACUGCCCACGAUCUGAAGCCUGUUUCAUCAGUGCUGCAUGUUGAUGGCCAUAGAGUGCCCUGCACACAUCUGCUGUGAUGAUGCAUGAGUAUUUGUUUCUUGGGAGAAAAGAGAUUGGGGCCCACUAGUAGAGGUUAGAGAUGACAAGGAACUGAGCUGGGUGACUCAUCAACAUAGAGAUGACCACCAAGCCAAGCAGGGUAGCUGAGGAAGACAGGGCCGGAAGGUACACUGAGGCUAAGUAGCUUGACUUAUUUCUUAUGCCUCAUCCUAGAGGGCAGAUACCCGAAUACGGAAGUGUGGCAUUUUAGUAUGGAUACAAACCAAUGUGCAAAUUAUGUUAUAGUUCUGGGAUGAGGGAAGUUUAGUAAAUGUGUUUACAGAUGCAAUGGCAAUGAGUUUUGAGAGCUCAGAGUGG
rnacentral:lncRNA from 1 species